rnacentral:lncRNA from 10 species
UGAAGCACCAUUCUCCAUUUUUAAUGUGGAUUUUCCAUCCCCCUUUAAACAUUAAACUUUUAGAUUCUUCUAGUGAAAUACAGAAAACACACGUGAACUGGGAUGAUUCUUGGCUGAGAGAUGUCCCAUGGUGUUUGGCAAACCCACGGAGGGGCCCACAGGCCCAUGUCUGGAACUGCCUGGCCCUCCUUUACCAGUUUAUCAGCCUUCCAUCUCUGCUGAGGUAGAAACAGCCAGAGGCUCUGAUAUAAUAAAGAUGAGCUCUGAAGAGGGGCUCUCUCUCCCUCUUGUAUUCAGAAGAACUGAAAGUUUUCAUAAGUCUCUAGAGAAGCGUGGCAACUAUCUGUAGCAUUUUUCUUUGGGAAUUAACCUUUGCCCAUAAUUAUUUCUGUUCAGUAGAAUAACCAUGGGUUUCUCUAUUCCAGUUUCUAGAAUAUAAUUUUCAUAAAUGAGGAUGGUCUCCUAUUUUGAGCUUAACAUUUUUCUAUUGCUAGAAAGAAUGGUACUGCCUCACUCCAGCUCCUUAGUGUGUGAUCAUGGCUUGAAAUCUCUGCUUUCUGUUAUAUUCGGAGGUAACAUGUAUAGGUCAUGUAUAAUGGCCUCAGGCAUGAUUUAGAAGGCACAGACUGAGCAGGCUGCUUUGUGAGGUGGUGAACUCCCCAUUCAUGAGAGCAUUCAAUCAAUCAGAAGAUGAAUAGUUAAUCAGAUGCUGUAGUUCUGGUUCUUGAAUAACCAGGAGUUCAGAAUAAAAUGAUCUCGGAGACUCUGUCCAUUCUAAGAUACCAUGUUUCCAUGACCCUACACACAAUAGCUACACAGGUGGAGCAACAUGAGUCUGAGAAGCUUUGCACAAAAGAAGAUUGUUUUCCACAAAUGAAAAUGGGGUGGUUAACUUCUAAUUGUACCCUGUCUUAGCGUUCAGAUGCAUUGGUUCCUUCCCCAUGUGACCAUCUCUUCAUUCAAAGCUUAGGCUGAAUGUGGAUUAUUUUUAAUUUAAUGUUCAUAUUAUAAAAGCAAUGAAACAGCAAAGUAGAGCAAAAUAUCAACAAUCCAAUGACUUUAUCAUAAAAAUUAUCAGCUUGAUAUAGUCCUGUUCUUAAUAUAAACAUCUGUGGUUAAUUAUAGUAUUAUAUCUUUUUAUUUGAAACAUUCAAGUUUUUUUUCAUGUUACCACACAGUGUUUGGGAUUAUAUUUUCAAAAUAAUAAUUGACCAGAUUGUCCUAUCUAGUGAAUAUGCAUAUAGCUGACUUUGUUGAACAUUUAUAGGAUGUCCAUUUUUCCAAAGCUUUAAUUAUAAAUCAUGCUGCAGUAAAUAUCUUCUCGCCCAAUAUUCCGAAUUAUUUCUUAAGAUUAGAGACAUUAAGUGCGAGUACCAGGUCGAAAACUAGAAGCACUUUAACAGCAUUUAACAGAUUUUGUUAGAGCUACAUUGCAUUCAGUAGACUGGCUAUACCAAUAUAUAGUUGCACAGCAAAUUCACCUCACCUUACCAGCAAGGGAUAUUUUCAUUUUAAAAUUGCUUGGUAACUUUUCUGGUUUAUGUUUCUCUUAGUACAAGCAAGAUUAUAUUUUUUAAAGUGGUUCAUCAUUUGAAAAGCAUCUGUAGUGUUCUUUGCCCAUUUAUCUUGUGGGAUGUUAAUGGUUUCCUUGUCAAGUUGUGUGAAAUAUAUGUGUGAAUUUAUUUUUCCAAAUAAAAUAAAGACAUUAACCUUC